CAUACUCUAAAUAUUUCCCUGGACUUGCACAUACAUUUCUAUAAGUAGUCAUUAUUACUAUCCUCUGUUUACAGAUGAGAAGUCUGAGGCUAUAGGACUCAGCCAAGGUCAUCCAGCUAAGAGGACCAGUAGGAUUGGAAUAGCUGAUAUUCUCAUCCUUCAGGCUAAUCAAACUAAAAAAAGAAAAGGAGACAAAAUUAACAUAGAGAGUUUAUUUGGGCAAAGAUUGAGGAUUGCAGCCCAGGACACACUUCCAAGUUGCCUUGGGGAAUGCUCCAUUUGGGCCUUUUUGUUACAAGAUUUUUAAAGGCAAAAGGGGACAAAGAGUUUUCUGAUACAAAGUUGUUUGACAGGAAUUCUCACUGGUUUACCGGAACAAGAUUGGUUAGAGGUUGGUUAUGCAUUGCUAAACUAUGGCUAUGAAUUAUGGUGUCUAGCAUAUGGCAUUUCAUAGCUACUUGGCUUCAGUUAGUCUAGAGCCCAUAUAGCAAGUGCCCUCAAGAUGUAAUUAUUUAGCUCAAGUGGGAGUGAGAUUUCACUGCUGUUGCAUUUUAACACCUCUCUGGGCCUGAUAAUUGAAGAGGGCUUGCAUUCGUCAGACAAAAAGUUUCUUUUCCUUCUCAAGGUCAUCCUGCACUUAAGAUGGGAUCCCAAGUUCCAAUUCUUCCAGGAGAAAAAAAGACUAGGAGGAUGGAAUGCAUUGAAAGACUAAUAGGGAGGUGAAUACAGAGAAGCAGAGGAAGGCAACAAUUAACAAUGGAGAAAUGAAGAGAUAGAGUGAAGCAUGAACCGGUAAAAUGGAGCUCAGAAUCCUGGAGCUAGUUCUGCCAAUAUUGAUUGUCCUCCCAGGUACCUAUUUUAUAAACAGAUGUGUUGUACAAACUCAAGGUUGUCUUCACAGAACACUUUUGAUGGAUACGUUGUGUCAGUGGCUUCCCAUUGAACAUAAAAUAAAAACCAAACUUCUUAUCUUAGCCUCAAAGGCCAAUAUGGACUGAUCCCUGCUGAACUUUUCAGAUGUGUCUUGUGCUCCUCUCUCUCUUGCUCACCAUACUGUAGCUAUACUCUCUUCUUCCAGUCCCAUGAAGAAGACAAGCCCUCUUUCAUCUCAGGGCCAACCUAUGUACUAUUCCCUCUAGCUGAAAUAUUCUUCCCCUCCAUUAUUCACUUAAUUAUGUGGAAAUCAGAAAUUAAAUACCUUGAUUUCUUUUACUGGCCUUAAAGAAAUGUAAUUUUUACAAUUAUAUUUAAUGAAAAGCCUUGAGGGGAGACAAUCUUAUUAGCAUAAGCACUUUGAGAAUUAAUUCAAAGUGUCAUGCUGGUUGUUAACUUCUCAGCAAGACAACGAAGAGAGUUUCAGAGAACUCAGAAUUUAUCGUUCAGUGACUAUGUAAAACGACAUUGUCAGAAAAAGAGCCAAUUGCAGUGAAAGGUUUUAAAGGUAAGGAUAUGUGAUCUGUCCCUUGUUAAUGGGAUAAGUCUUUCAGAGAGAUGUUCCAUGACAUGGUUAGUAAAUACAAAAUAUCUAGUGUAACCACUCUUGCUCAUAAAACACGUUUGUUAUAGGAAUCCCUCUAGUCAUUCACUUAAGUGAUCAAAUGUAUUUGUAAUAAGAAAUAGAAAGGGGUUAAUUAAGAUAUAAAUAAACUUCUCAGCCCUACAGCUGAAGCACUGGCAUCACCUCAGACAAAUCUGAUCCAAAUCCAAUGAAAAGCCUGUUUUUCCCAAUUAUUCUCAUCAGUCAGGACUCAGUUUAAGGUCACCUUCUUUGAGAGGCUUGCUCUGGGAACUAUAUUUAAAGCAGUACUACUUGAAAUUUGGAAAAUCAUUUGGUAAAAAUACAGAGGCCCAGGCUUUCCUUACUUUGAUUAAGCCAGGACAAUUGUAUUCUUUAUUAGCUCUCCAGUUAAUUCUGACACCCAUAAAAGUUUGAGAACUACCAAUCCAAAUGUUUAUCCUUCCUUUCAUCCCUUUAUUUUCUAUUAUAGCAUCCAAUUUGUUUCCCACACAGCUCUUAUCACAAUAUCUAUUUACAUGUGGUUGUCAGUCUCCCCUACUAAACUAUAAGCACCAUGAGGGCAGUGAUCAUGUCUUUCUUGUCAAUUACUGUAUCCCCAGAACUUAACACAAUGCUUGGCACACACUUGGGGCUCUAAAAAUAGACAGCUUUGUAUGCAUAGAAUUUUUUUUAAAAACUUCAAUGUAAAUUGUAUUCAUAGUACAGUCAAGACUUGUUUUAUAAUAGUAAAUCAUAAACUUUUUAUUUUCUACCAGAAUCUUUUUGAGGGAAUGCUAAUAAAUAUUACAGAUAAAACCAGAAUGAGAGCUGGGCCUGGUGGCUCACGCUUGUAAUCCCAGCACUUUGGGAGACUGAAGCAGGUGGAUCACCUGAGGUCAGGAGU
rnacentral:lncRNA from 1 species